rnacentral:tRNA from 1 species
CGCGGGCUGGACGUCGGCGAGCCCCGGCUGCCGCUGCCGCCGGCGACCGAGGAGCAGGUCGCGGCGAUCGCCGCGGAUCUCACCGCGGCCGGUGUC